rnacentral:rRNA from 1 species
ACUUAAAUUGAAGAGUUUGAUCAUGGCUCAGAUUGAACGCUGGCGGCAGGCCUAACACAUGCAAGUCGAGCGGUAGCACAGAGAGCUUGCUCUCGGGUGACGAGCGGCGGACGGGUGAGUAAUGUCUGGGAAACUGCCUGAUGGAGGGGGAUAACUACUGGAAACGGUAGCUAAUACCGCAUAAUGUCGCAAGACCAAAGUGGGGGACCUUCGGGCCUCAUGCCAUCAGAUGUGCCCAGAUGGGAUUAGCUAGUAGGUGGGGUAACGGCUCACCUAGGCGACGAUCCCUAGCUGGUCUGAGAGGAUGACCAGCCACACUGGAACUGAGACACGGUCCAGACUCCUACGGGAGGCAGCAGUGGGGAAUAUUGCACAAUGGGCGCAAGCCUGAUGCAGCCAUGCCGCGUGUGUGAAGAAGGCCUUCGGGUUGUAAAGCACUUUCAGCGGGGAGGAAGGCGGUGAGGUUAAUAACCUCACCGAUUGACGUUACCCGCAGAAGAAGCACCGGCUAACUCCGUGCCAGCAGCCGCGGUAAUACGGAGGGUGCAAGCGUUAAUCGGAAUUACUGGGCGUAAAGCGCACGCAGGCGGUCUGUCAAGUCGGAUGUGAAAUCCCCGGGCUCAACCUGGGAACUGCAUUCGAAACUGGCAGGCUAGAGUCUUGUAGAGGGGGGUAGAAUUCCAGGUGUAGCGGUGAAAUGCGUAGAGAUCUGGAGGAAUACCGGUGGCGAAGGCGGCCCCCUGGACAAAGACUGACGCUCAGGUGCGAAAGCGUGGGGAGCAAACAGGAUUAGAUACCCUGGUAGUCCACGCCGUAAACGAUGUCGAUUUGGAGGUUGUGCCCUUGAGGCGUGGCUUCCGGAGCUAACGCGUUAAAUCGACCGCCUGGGGAGUACGGCCGCAAGGUUAAAACUCAAAUGAAUUGACGGGGGCCCGCACAAGCGGUGGAGCAUGUGGUUUAAUUCGAUGCAACGCGAAGAACCUUACCUGGUCUUGACUCCACAGAACUUUCCAGAGAUGGAUUGGUGCCUUCGGGAACUGUGAGACAGGUGCUGCAUGGCUGUCGUCAGCUCGUGUUGUGAAAUGUUGGGUUAAGUCCCGCAACGAGCGCAACCCUUAUCCUUUGUUGCCAGCGGUUAGGCCGGGAACUCAAAGGAGACUGCCAGUGAUAAACUGGAGGAAGGUGGGGAUGACGUCAAGUCAUCAUGGCCCUUACGACCAGGGCUACACACGUGCUACAAUGGCAUAUACAAAGAGAAGCGACCUCGCGAGAGCAAGCGGACCUCAUAAAGUAUGUCGUAGUCCGGAUUGGAGUCUGCAACUCGACUCCAUGAAGUCGGAAUCGCUAGUAAUCGUAGAUCAGAAUGCUACGGUGAAUACGUUCCCGGGCCUUGUACACACCGCCCGUCACACCAUGGGAGUGGGUUGCAAAAGAAGUAGGUAGCUUAACCUUCGGGAGGGCGCUUACCACUUUGUGAUUCAUGACUGGGGUGAAGUCGUAACAAGGUAACCGUAGGGGAACCUGCGGUUGGAUCACCUCCUUACCUUAAAGAA